rnacentral:rRNA from 1 species
CCUACGGGCGACAGCAGUGGGGAAUAUUGGGCAAUGGAGGAAACUCUGACCCAGCAACGCCGCGUGAAUGAUGAAGGUCUUCGGAUGGUAAAGUUCUUUUCUAAGGGAAGAAGAAAGUGACGGUACCGUAGGAAUAAGCCUCGGCUAACUCCGGGCCAGCAGCCGCGGUAAUACGUAGGAGGCGAGCGUUAGCCGGAAUGACUGGGCGUAACGGGUGCGUAGGUGGUUUGUCAAGGUAGUAGCGUAACUCCAAGGCUCACCCUUGGAACUACUACUAAAACUGUUGGACUUGUGUGCAGGAGUGGCCACCGGAAUUCCUAGUGUAGCGGUGGUAUGCGUCGAUAUUAGCAGGAACCCCAGUGGCGACGGCGGGUUGCUAGACUGUCCCUGACACUGCGGCACGACAGCGUGGGGAGCAAACAGGAUUAGAUACCCGUGUAGUC